rnacentral:rRNA from 1 species
CCAAUAGCGUAUAUUAAAGUUGUUGCAGUUAAAAAGCUCGUAGUUGAAUUUCGGGGUUAGUAGAUUGGUCAUGCCUCUGGUAUGCACUGGUCUUACUGAUUCCUCCUUCCUGAUGAACCGUAAUGCCAUUAAUUUGGUGUUGCGGGGAAACUGGACUGUUACUUUGAAAAAAUUAGAGUGUUUAAAGCAGGCUAACGCUUGAAUACAUUAGCAUGGAAUAAUGAAAUAGGACGUUCGAUCUUAUUUUGUUGGUUUCUAGGAUUGACGUAAUGAUUAAUAGGUAUAGUUGGGGGCAUUAGUAUUCAAUUGUCAGAGGUGAAAUUCUUGGAUUUAUUGAAGACUAACUACUGCGAAAGCAUUUGCCAAGGAUGUUUUCAUUAAUCAAGAACGAAGGUUAGGGGAUCGAAGACGAUCAGAUACCGUCGUAGUCUUAACCAUAAACUAUGCCGACUAGGGAUCGGAUGAUGUUAAUUUUUUAAUGACUCAUUCGGCGCCUUACG